AACGAACGCUGGCGGCAGGCCUAACACAUGCAAGUCGAACGCGCGUAGCAAUACGCGAGUGGCGCACGGGUGAGUAACACGUGGGAACCAACCCUGAGGUUCGGAAUAACCGCGGGAAACUGCGGCUAAUACCGGAUAUCCCCUACGGGGGAAAGAUUUAUCGCCUUGGGACGGGCCCGCGUCCGAUUAGCUAGUUGGUGAGGUAAUGGCUCACCAAGGCUCCGAUCGGUAGCUGGUCUGAGAGGACGACCAGCCACACUGGAACUGAGAUACGGUCCAGACUCCUACGGGAGGCAGCAGUGGGGAAUAUUGGGCAAUGGAGGCAACUCUGACCCAGCCAUGCCGCGUGGGUGACGAAGGUCUUCGGAUUGUAAAGCCCUUUCGGCGGGGACGAUGAUGACGGUACCCGCAGAAGAAGCCCCGGCUAACUUCGUGCCAGCAGCCGCGGUAAUACGAAGGGGGCUAGCGUUGUUCGGAAUUACUGGGCGUAAAGGGCGUGUAGGCGGCCCGUUAAGACAGGUGUGAAAUUCCUGGGCUCAACCCAGGACGUGCGCCUGUGACUGGUGGGCUUGAGUCCGGGAGAGGAUGGUGGAACUCCCAGUGUAGAGGUGAAAUUCGUAGAUAUUGGGAAGAACACCCGUGGCGAAGGCGGCCAUCUGGACCGGUACUGACGCUAAGGCGCGACAGCGUGGGGAGCAAACAGGAUUAGAUACCCUGGUAGUCCACGCCGUAAACGAUGAGUGCUAGACGUUGGGAAGCCUAGCUUUUCAGUGUCGCAGCUAACGCAUUAAGCACUCCGCCUGGGGAGUACGGCCGCAAGGUUG
rnacentral:rRNA from 1 species